rnacentral:rRNA from 1 species
GACGAACGCUGGCGGCGUGCCUAAUACAUGCAAGUCGAACGAGUGGCGGACGGGUGAGUAAUGCUUGGGAAUCUGGCUUAUGGAGGGGGAUAACGACGGGAAACUGUCGCUAAUACCGCGUACCCUAGGAUGAGCCCAAGUGGGAUUAGGUAGUUGGUGGGGGAAUGGCCUACCAAGCCGACGAUCUCUAGCUGGUCUGAGAGGAUGACCAGCCAAAUUGGGACUGGGAAACGGCCCAGACUCCUACGGGAGGCAGCAGGGGGGAAUUUUCCGCAAUGGACGAAAGUCUGACGGAGCAACGCCGCGUGAGUGAUGACGGCCUUCGGGUUGUAAAGCUCUGUUAAUCGGGAGACGGUACCGGAAUAGAAAGCCACGGCUAACUACGUGCCAGCAGCCGCGGUAAUAC